rnacentral:lncRNA from 1 species
CCACAGAAAUUAAGAAAUAAAAAGAUAUUACUGGUCGAUUGAUAAUCGAUCUGAUCCUACUAUAUAAAAGGAGCUAAUUUUAAGGUUUCUUAGGAAUGCCACAUAGGAUAAAAUAUUCUCUACCAAUCAAACUACCACGUCAUCGCGAAUGUUUAGAUGAUGGGUCUCAAACCAUCCAAACCCAUCAAAAUAGCCAGUCCAUUGUAUAACUUAUAGCUUCCUAUUCUUUAGCCUACUUGCCUCAGACGUCUCCAGCGACUCCAAAUCUGUUAGUCUACCCAACUUCACCGGCGUAACUCCUACGACUACAACAAUGGCACUUCAAUGCUCUAUUAUAACUCAUCAAGUGAAGACUCUUUGUACCUCUCCACAC